AUGAACGCUGGCGGCGUGCUUAACACAUGCAAGUCGAACGGUGAAAGAGAGCUUGCUCUCUGGAUCAGUGGCGAACGGGUGAGUAACACGUGAGCAAUCUGCCCUUGACUCUGGGAUAAGCGUUGGAAACGACGUCUAAUACCGGAUACGAGCUGUGAAGGCAUCUUCAACAGCUGGAAAGAAUUUCGGUCAAGGAUGAGCUCGCGGCCUAUCAGCUAGUUGGUGAGGUAAUGGCUCACCAAGGCGUCGACGGGUAGCCGGCCUGAGAGGGUGACCGGCCACACUGGGACUGAGACACGGCCCAGACUCCUACGGGAGGCAGCAGUGGGGAAUAUUGCACAAUGGGCGCAAGCCUGAUGCAGCAACGCCGCGUGAGGGACGACGGCCUUCGGGUUGUAAACCUCUUUUAGCAGGGAAGAAGCGAAAGUGACGGUACCUGCAGAAAAAGCACCGGCUAACUACGU
rnacentral:rRNA from 1 species